GACGAACGCUGGCGGCGUGCUUAACACAUGCAAGUCGAACAGUGGCGAACGGGUGAGUAACACGUGAGUAACCUGCCCUCCAUUUUGGGAUAACUCCGAGAAAUCGGGGCUAAUACUGGAUAGUGGGGGAUGGGUUCGUGGCCUACUAGUUUGUUGGCGAGGUAGUGGUCACCAAGGCGUGAUGGGUAGCCGGCCUGAGGGGGCGACCGGCCACACUAGGACUGAGACACGGACCAGACUCCUACGGGAGGCAGCAGUGGGGAAUAUUGCGCAAUGGGCGAGAGCCUGAUGCAGCGACGCCGCGUGGGGGAUGACGGCCUUCGGGUUGUAAACCUCUUUCAGCAAGGAAGCGGUACUUGCAGAAGAAGCGCCGGCUAACUACGUGCCAGCAGCCGCGGUAAUAC
rnacentral:rRNA from 1 species